rnacentral:rRNA from 1 species
GACGAACGCUGGCGGCGUGCUUAACACAUGCAAGUCGAACGGAAAGGCCCUGCUUUUGUGGGGUGCUCGAGUGGCGAACGGGUGAGUAACACGUGAGUAACCUGCCCUUGACUUUGGGAUAACUUCAGGAAACUGGGGCUAAUACCGGAUAGGAGCUCCUGCUGCAUGGUGGGGGUUGGAAAGUUUCGGCGGUUGGGGAUGGACUCGCGGCUUAUCAGCUUGUUGGUGGGGUAGUGGCUUACCAAGGCUUUGACGGGUAGCCGGCCUGAGAGGGUGACCGGCCACAUUGGGACUGAGAUGCGGCCCAGACUCCUACGGGAGGCAGCAGUGGGGAAUAUUGCACAAUGGGCGGAAGCCUGAUGCAGCAACGCCGCGUGCGGGAUGACGGCCUUCGGGUUGUAAACCGCGUGCGCCUGUGACGAAGCGUGAGUGACGGUAAUGGGUAAAGAAGCACCGGCUAACUACGUG